UGUAGGAUGCACAUGACCCGGA
rnacentral:siRNA from 1 species